rnacentral:rRNA from 1 species
AUUGAACGCUGGCGGCAGGCCUAACACAUGCAAGUCGAACGAGUGGCGGACGGGUGAGUAAUGUCUGGGAAACUGCCGGAUGGAGGGGGAUAACUACUGGAAACGGUAGCUAAUACCGCAUACCAUCAGAUGUGCCCAAAUGGGAUUAGCUUGUUGGUGGGGUAACGGCUCACCAAGGCGACGAUCCCUAGCUGGUCUGAGAGGAUGACCAGCCACACUGGAACUGAGACACGGUCCAGACUCCUAGGGGAGCCAGAAGUGGUGAAUAUUGCACAAUGGGCGCAAGCCUGAUGCAGCCAUGCCGCGUGUAUGAAGAAGGCCUUCGGGUUGUAAAGUACUUUCAGCGGGGAGGCGUUACUCGCAGAAGAAGCACCGGCUAACUCCGUGCCAGCAGCCGCGGUAAUAC